UGUAAUGACACUGCAAAUGAUUAGACUUUCUAGUCUUCUCGGAUAAGGACGAUAACCGAAGGUUCCGUCUCACAAAACCUUCCAUAUAUAAAAUUUCA